rnacentral:rRNA from 1 species
AGAGUUUGAUUCUGGCUCAGGAUGAACGCUAGCUACAGGCUUAACACAUGCAAGUCGAGCGGAACUGCUUCGGCAGUUUAGCGGCAGACGGGUGAGUAACACGUAUCCAACCUUCCCCUUACUCGGGUAUAGCCUCGGGAAACUGAGAGUAAUCCCCGAUGUGGUGUACGCUUCGCAUGUAAUGCACACCAAAGAUUAAUCGGUAAGGGAUGGGGAUGCGUUCCAUUAGCUAGUAGGCGGGGUAACGGCCCACCUAGGCGAUGAUGGAUAGGGGUUCUGAGAGGAAGGUCCCCCACAUUGGAACUGCGACACGGUCCAAACUCCUACGGGAGGCAGCAGUGAGGAAUAUUGGUCAAUGGCCGAGAGGCUGAACCAGCCCAAGUAGCGUGCAGGAUGACGGCCCUACGGGUUGUAAACUGCUUUUAUACGGGGAUAAAGUGAGGGACGUGUCCCUUUUUGUAGGUACCGUAUGAAUAAGGACCGGCUAAUUCCGUGCCAGCCGCGGC